GGUAGAUCAUUUUCUACAGGUUGAGAAUUAACCGCCCUGCUGUCUUCCAUAACUUUUCCAGGGUACCAAAUAUCAUCAGGACUGAGGGGUAAAGAAGCAGGAUCAAGUUCAAAGGAUCCCGCAGGUACACCCUCUCGUUCAGUUCCAGUCAUUUUAAAAGAAGGAAUUUGAUGAGAGAACUUGUAAAGUUCAUUUGGCUUUACAAAGAAUGUACCAACUUCA
rnacentral:misc_RNA from 1 species